GGGCCCGUAGCUCAGCGGCAGAGCGUGAGAUUCCAGUUCAGGUGUUUCCUCAAGGUCAUCCGUUCAAUCCGGGUCGGGCUCA
rfam:Ceriporiopsis subvermispora B unplaced genomic scaffold CERSTscaffold_30, whole genome shotgun sequence.